AUGGCUGGAAUAAUGGUGAGUGCUUCUACUGGUGUGAUGAACUCUUUGUUGGGUAAGCUGACAACCCUCAUGGGAAAGGAGUUUACGAGGCUGAAGAACCUGCGAAAAGAAGUGAGGUUCAUUAAUAAUGAGCUUAUCAGCAUGAAGUAUGCUCUUGAUGGGCUUUCAGAUCUAGAUGAGCUAGAUCCACAAACCAAGAGGUGGAGAGACAUGGUGAGGGAGAUGUCUUAUGAGAUUGAGGACAUCAUCGAUGACUUCAUGCAAAGCAUUGGUGAAAAUGAUAGAACUACUGGGCUUGUUAGCAAUACUGUUCGACGCCUCAAAACUUUGAGGGAUCGUCAUCGGAUUGCUGGACAAAUCGAAGAGGUCAAACAACUUGUGCUAGAGACAAGUGAACGUCAAAGAAGGUAUGAGCUUCGUAUACCCCCAUCAAGUAAUGUUGACAUUGACCCACGAGUCACUGCACUCUACACAGAAGUGGCUGACCUUGUCGGUAUAGAAGGACCAGCGAAUGAGCUUGUCAGUUGGUUAAUGGAUGAGGAGAAGAAGUUGAAGGCCGUAUCAAUUGUGGGAUUUGGAGGUCUGGGAAAAACAACACUUGCCAAUGAGGUAUACCGUAGGGUCAAGGGAGAAUUUGACACUCAUGCUCUCGUGACGGUGUCUCAAAAGCCUAACAUUCAAAAAAUUCUCCACACUUUACUAUCCAAACUUGGCACAGAGACAUCUAUUCACACUUGCGAGUCACGUCUUAUCGAAAUGCUCAGAGAACAUCUCCAAACUAAGAGAUAUUUGAUCAUAAUUGAUGAUAUAUGGGAUAUAUCAGCAUGGAAUAUUAUUAAAUGUGUUUUUAGUAAAAAUGAUCUUGCUAGCAGAGUAGUAGUAACUACAAGAAAGCAAGAUGUGGCUAUGACAUGUUGCUCCCGUGAUUGCAUUUUACAAAUGAAGCCCCUCACCAACGAAGACUCAACAAGGCUGUUUUUUGGUAGGGUAUUUGGCUCGAAAGAAGCUUGCCCUCCCCAGCUUAGAGAUAUUUCGGUUGAAAUUCUCAAAAAAUGUGGUGGUUUACCUCUUGCAAUUAUUAGUAUAUCUAGUAUGCUAGCAAAUAAAAAUUGCAACCAAAAGGAAAGGUGGGAAUAUGUACAAGAUUCUAUGGGCUCGGAAAGCAAUCACAUGCUUGACGGGAUGAGGCAAAUCUUAAACCUCAGCUACAAAGAUCUUCCUCCUUAUCUGAAGACAUGCUUGUUGUAUCUUGGUAUGUAUCCAGAGGACUACCAAAUAGAGAGGUCUAAUCUGGAACGCCAGUGGAUGGCUGAAGGUUUCAUCAGUAUAGAAAAUGGACAAGAUGUGGAGAAGGUUGCAAGAAAUUAUUUCAAUGAGCUUGUGAAUAGAAGCCUUAUUCAACCUGUAGAAUUCGAUAAGAGAGGGUCGGUGACAAAAUGCAAGGUUCAUGAUAUGUUGCUUAAUCUUAUCUUGAUUAAGUCAGCACAGGAGAAUUUUCUCACUAUAGUGGAUGACCCACAUGCCUUUACAAGACUGCAAUGCAAGGUCCGUCGGCUGUCUAUCCGCUUGGAUGGUGCAAGUAAUGGCCGAGAAAUAGUAUCGACAAAUAAUAGUAUGUCGCAGGUUCGGUCGGUUAUGUUCUUUGGGAGCUCUCAGAUUACACCUCCUUUGUCAGAGUUCAAGUUCCUCCGAGUUGUUCAUAUUGACCUUGAUGAUGCUGAAGUUGACCUCACUGGAUUGUGUAAACUUUAUCAGCUGAGGUAUUUAUGCAUUAGUGAUGGUUGUUCAUACCAGCUACCAACACAGAUUAGAGUGCUUCAACACUUGGAGACACUUGAGCUGUUUAGUUGUGACAGGGUUCCGUCAGAUAUAAUUCAUCUACCCCGUUUGAUGUUUCUGAAAGCUUGGACGAGGCUCCAUGAUGGGAUUGGCAAUAUGAAAUCCCUGCGUCAUCUAUUUGGAUUUGAUUUUACGUUGUACAAGCUAGAUAAUAUCAGGGGCCUUGGAGAGCUUACCAAUCUGAAAUUUCUAUAUCUCACGUGCGGCAUUCGUAAGGAUGACUGGGAGAGACGCAUGGAUGCUCUAUGCUCUUCUCUAGGAAACCUAUGUCACCUAGAGAACCUGUUUGUCGAUCUCAUCGGCUGCAUAGAUGGCUUCAUGCCAUUGUUUCCUCCGCCAACUCAUUACCGCCUUGAGAGACUUAUCAUGCAAUGGAGGUGCUGGUUUUCCAGGGUCCCUAGCUGGAUGGGGGAACUCCAUAACCUCUACCAGUUAAAAUUCAAAGUUGGUCAGCUGCUAACUGAUGGUGUUGGUAUCCUUGCUGAGCUGCCCGCCCUCACUCACCUCGAUGUAGAGACCGGAAAAACCACAAACAAAGUGAUUUCCAUCGAGAGAGGAGCAUUCCCUGCUCUAAAGAGUUUUAAGCUUCUAUUAAGUAGUGCUUCGUACUUGACCUUCCAGGCCGGAGCAAUGCCCAGGCUCCAAAGGCUGAAGCUAAAAUUCAAUGUACAUGGAUCGGAGCAGAUUGGGGCUGCACCUGCCGGCCUCGAGCAAUUGUUAGCACUUGAAGAGCUGACUGCAAAAAUCUGCUGCCACCGUGCUUCAGAGUCCGACAGGAGAAGUGCGGACUCUGACUUGAGGAGUGCCGUCGACAUGUUUCCAAGCCAUCUUCUAGUCAAAGUCAGCUAUGAAGAGGUUUGGAAUUUUGGUUUUUCUGAUGACUAG
rnacentral:rRNA from 1 species